rnacentral:rRNA from 1 species
CCCGGCGACCGGCGCACGGGUGAGUAACACGUAUGCAACCUGGCCGCCACAGGGGGAUAACCCGCGGAAACGCGGCCUAAUACCCCGUGACGCCACCGGAGGGCAUCCUCCGGUGGCCAAAGGAGCGAUCCGGUGGCGGAUGGGCAUGCGGCGCAUUAGCUAGACGGCGGGGUGACGGCCCACCGUGGCGACGAUGCGUAGGGGUUCUGAGAGGAAGGCCCCCCUCACUGGGACUGAGACACGGCCCAGACUCCUACGGAAGGCAGCAG